GACGAACCGUGCGAACGUUGUUCGGAAUCACUGGGCUUAAAGGGCGCGUAGGCGGUUACUUAAGUCGGAUGUGAAAGCCCUCGGCUUAACUGAGGAAGUGCACCCGAAACUGAGUAGCUAGAGUACGAAAGAGGGUCGCGGAAUUCCCGGUGUAGAGGUGAAAUUCGUAGAUAUCGGGAGGAACACCGGUGGCGAAGGCGGCGACCUGGGUCGAGACUGACGCUGAGGCGCGAAAGCGUGGGGAGCAAACAGG
rnacentral:rRNA from 1 species